UCGAAACCUGCACAGCAGAACGACCCGCGAACACGUUUAACCACCGGGCGAGGGACGGAGGGGGCGCAAGCUCCUCGAGUCUCGAACCCUUGGACGGGGAUCGCCCUCUGCGGCGGCCUCCGUUAGAACAACGACCCCCCGGCGCGGAAUGCGCCAAGGAAAUCAAACUGAGCGGAUCGCGUCCCCCCCGUUCGCGGGCGGCGGAGGCGUCUCUUCUGAAACACAAACGACUCUCGGCAACGGAUAUCUCGGCUCUCGCAUCGAUGAAGAACGUAGCGAAAUGCGAUACUUGGUGUGAAUUGCAGAAUCCCGUGAACCAUCGAGUUUUUGAACGCAAGUUGCGCCCGAAGCCAUUAGGCCGAGGGCACGCCUGCCUGGGCGUCACGCAUCGCGUCGCCCCCCAAACCUCGCACUUCCGCAAGGGAGUCCCGGCAGGGGGCGGAUAUUGGUCUCCCGUGACUCAUCGCGCGGCUGGCCUAAAAGCGAGUCACCGACGGCGAACGUCGCGACAAGUGCUGGUCGUAAAAAGCCUUCUGUUCGUGUCGUGUUUGCGAACGUCGUCGGUUGAAGCUCCUGUGACCCUGUUGCGCCGUCCUCGACGCGCGCUCCGA
rnacentral:rRNA from 3 species